GGGCAGCAAUGUCCCAAGGCGAGUGCAGGGCCAAAGUCGCCGCCGCCCGGAGUGCUCGAGCACUUUGCCAGCAAGGCAGCGUUUCCGCUCUUCUGUUCGCCGCUAGUGGUGGUGGUGAUGAUGGCUUGGUUGAUAAGACGUGGACGC
rnacentral:sRNA from 1 species